GCGAAGGCGUUGCCCCGUUAAUACAUGCUAGGCCCUAUGGGCCAGCGUUGGGAUAAUUAUUAUUUUUUUUUCCUUGAAAUCGGUUACAGCUCUGACGUCCGCCAUUUGGACAAGCGGGAAGAAAAAUCUCAACAACACCAAGAACUCAAGCGACUGCUGGAAGCGGCCGGAUGAACGGUCCACUACUCCACCAAUGAAUGCCUUGCGCUCGGAGUGACUGGGGCCAUCCCUUGCAACCUCACUAAGCUGCUCACCUCUCAACUUGGGGUGACCCACACAGCCGCACGAGUAUGCGGAGAGAGGCUCCACACACACGCUGUGAACAGUGCGGGCGGCAUUAUCAAAAUGCGCCGAGUAACCAAGCAGGAACUCAAACCGAGAGGUGGGUGAGCCACGGCUCCCCCACACCUCCUCGGAGUGCGUGGUGAGGUAGUGGGGGCGUACAGGAGGCGGG
rnacentral:lncRNA from 1 species